UUUUAUGUAGUAUAGUGGUGAGUAUUCCCGCCUGUCACGCGGGUGACUCGGAUUCGGUCCCCGACAACGACGUCAAAA